AUUCCCCCUCCCCCUACACACACACAAAAUCCUCCCCCCUUUCACAAAUUCCUCCCUCCUACUCGCGGCGAAAAAUUCCCCCCAUCUCCCCUCUCUCUCUCGCCGACCCACCCCGCCGCCCCCUCGACGGAAUCACCUCGAUGGAUCUCGACACCGAGAACGGGCACGCGAUCGAGGAGCUGAAGUCCGAGAAGAAGAAGGAGAAGAAGAAACUGGAUUCAUUGGAGGACGAGACGGAGAAGAGCGAGAAGAAGAGGAAGGCUGAUGAUGAUGACGAAGACGAGGAGACCUCGCCAUGAGAAUUGUGCAUGACCCAUUUCUCUAUGUCCUCGUUCUCGGCCUCCCUCUGUCGUUUUCCUACUCUUGGUUGUCCAAUUGGGCUCUGCGCAGGCGAUUUCUUGAUUCUGGUUCUGGGGAUCCAUGUACCAUGGUUCCCCUUUGCUACUGCCGAUUCUUGGGCCAUUGACUGUGAAGAGGGCUUUUCAGGGAAAUUGGGCUUUUCCAUCAAGAUGAAGAUAGUGUGUUCUUAUCUAUACAGGGCUUUUCCAUGGGUUCUGUUCUAUAAUUUUCCAAACCAACUUUUUCUUAUAGUCUGCAGUAGGAAGCACACAUGACAUGAAGACUAAUCUUAGGAGCUUGACUUUGUUAAUGUCUUCAAUUUACCUAGGGAAAUUGGACACUUGAGACUUGGCAUCCCUUGUAUUCUUAUGGAAUCCUUUGGCAAUAAUCACCUGUGUUGGCUCAUCAACAUCACCAAUUGACAAUUUGAUGGUCGUAUUGGCCAUCUAUGGAGCUUGUUCACGAAACUAGUAUGAACAUGCGAUGGUGGCCAAAAAUGUGGUCACAAGAAAGUCAUAGGAGUUGUUAAUAAACAAGGAAGACUAAAGGUAUAGUUCCCUUGGCAGCCUUUGGAUGGGUUAUGGCGACACACUUGUCACUUUAUCCUGCAAUCCUGAUUGUACCGGAUAUCUCCCUUCAGACAUCUCAUUGGCUUCUUUUACGUGUGAGAUAUGACAAACCAUGGCAUGAGUGCCUUGAUCUGCAAUCAUUUAUGGACUUGGUACUACAUUCAAGUAACGGAAACACACUGAAAACAGUACUUAUGCUUGCCGAUCAAAUGAUCAAUCGAGUUGAAUAUAUGCAUGCGAAGGGCUUCCUUCACAUAAAGAUGGUUCAAUUUUCUACAAAGAACCUUUUGCUUGACUAAUUUAAGGAAAAGUACAAUCUCUUGGUGCUAAGAUAUUAGUUUGGAUUGUGAAAAUUUUCAAUGUAGGGUGUGGAUAUAUGUGCGAGAUAUUAGUUAUGAAAUGUGAAAUUUGAAUUUAUGGAAGUUUCUUUAAAUGUUUGUGAAAUUUGGAUUGUAAAAUUUUUGAAUGUAGUGUAUGGAUGUAUGCGAGAUACUAGAUAUGGAAAGUGCACGAAAUUUGUGAAA